AACGAACGCUGGCGGCAGGCCUAACACAUGCAAGUCGAGCGCCCCGCAAGGGGAGCGGCGGACGGGUGAGUAACGCGUGGGAACGUACCCUUUGCUACGGAAUAGCCUCGGGAAACUGGGAGUAAUACCGUAUGUGCCCUUCGGGGGAAAGAUUUAUCGGCAAAGGAUCGGCCCGCGUUGGAUUAGGUAGUUGGUGGGGUAAUGGCCUACCAAGCCGACGAUCCAUAGCUGGUUUGAGAGGAUGAUCAGCCACACUGGGACUGAGACACGGCCCAGACUCCUACGGGAGGCAGCAGUGGGGAAUCUUAGACAAUGGGCGCAAGCCUGAUCUAGCCAUGCCGCGUGAGCGAUGAAGGCCUUAGGGUUGUAAAGCUCUUUCAGUGGGGAAGAUAAUGACUGUACCCACAGAAGAAGCCCCGGCUAACUCCGUGCCAGCAGCCGCGGUAAAGUAGACGCU
rnacentral:rRNA from 1 species